AGAACGAACGCUGGCGGCAGGCCUCAAACAUGCAAGUCUAGGGGGUGCAGCAAUGCAUCACCGGCGGACGGGUGCGUAACACGUGGGAAUAUACCUUUCGGUACGGAACAACUGCGGGAAACUGCAGCUAAUACCGUAUACGUCCUUGCGGAGAAAGAUUUAUCGCCGAAGGAUUAGCCCGCGUUCGAUUAGCUAGUUGGUGAGGUAAUGGCUCACCAAGGCAACGAUCGAUAGCUGUUCUGAGAGGAAGAUCAGCCACACUGGGACUGAGACACGGCCCAGACUCCUACGGGAGGCAGCAGUUGGGAAUCUUGGACAAUGGGGGAAACCCUGAUCCAGCCAUGCCGCGUGAGUGAUGAAGGCCUUCGGGUUGUAAAGCUCUUUUACCCGGGAAGAUAAUGACUGUACCGGGAGAAUAAGCUCCGGCUAACUUCGUGCCAGCAGCCGC
rnacentral:rRNA from 1 species